UGAAAAAAAAAACCUUAUCUCAGAACACUCUCUCUCUCUCUCUCUCUCUCUCUCUCUCUCUCUCUCAUGUCGUUCUGUCCAAACCCUCUCCAUCUUUCCUCCUUCCUUCCACCUCUCUCCUCAAAACCCUCUCUCUCUCCAAUCAAAACCCUAGAAACCAUCCGAUGCGCGAGGCGCUCUCAGAGGACUGGGAAGCAACGCUACCCUUCCGAGAAGAAGGAACAACAGCGCACCCGAUUCAAAACCCUAGCCCCUGUUGAGAACAGAGAGGACGGAAUUUGGAGGCUGUCGAAGCUCAAUGUCCCUGUUGACAAAGAUCCUGGGAAAGAUAAUCUUGGAGUAUCUGAUGGUCUUCUUGAAGCCAUUGCCAAAGUCCUCGAAUUCCCUGUUGCUACUAUGUUACCCCAAGAAGCUUUCUCCGUUGUUCGGAAAUCCUUUGAUGCAAGGAAGCUGUUGAAGGAGCCCAAGUUUGUAUAUACUGUGGACAUGGAUGUUAAAAAACUUCUGGAUUUGGAGCCACGUACAUGGGACUUUAUUUCUCGGCUAGAGCCUAAACUUGGGCUUGUAGAAUAUAUGCCUCAUGAAAGAGUUUCAGAUGAUUUGAUAAGCGUGAUACAUGGUUAUAAAAGGAUUCAUACAGAUAUGGGGAAGAGGGAAAGUGUUAAUGACAUUCACUCUGAGAAAUCAUACAAAUUCCCAGUUCCAAAGAAAUCGAAAGUUGCAGUGGUGGGUAGUGGGCCAUCAGGCUUGUUUGCUUCACUUGUGCUCGCAGAACUUGGUGCAGAGGUUACCCUGAUAGAAAGGGGUCAAGCUGUUGAACAGAGAGGGCGUGAUAUUGGUUCAUUGGUAGUUAGGCGGAUUUUACAGCCGGAGAGCAAUUUGUGCUUCGGGGAGGGCGGUGCAGGUACGUGGAGCGAUGGAAAGCUGGUAACUAGAAUUGGGAGGAACAGCAACAGCGUUCAGGCAGUUAUGAAAACUCUUGUUCACUUUGGAGCCCCACCCAAUAUUUUGGUUGAUGGGAAACCUCAUCUGGGAACAGAUAGGUUGAUUCCAUUACUACGCAAUUUUCGGCAACAUCUGCAGGGGUUGGGGGUUAACAUCAAAUUCGGGACUAGGUUGGAUGAUCUGAUCGUAGAGAAAGGACGGGUUGUGGGGGUUGAAGUUUCAGAUUCCAGGAAUGAAUUGCAUUUUAAUAACCAGAAACUGACAUUUGAUGCUGUUCUUUUAGCAGUCGGGCAUUCUGCACGUGAUGUAUAUCAAAUGCUUCUUCGGAAUAAUGUGGACUUGGUCCCUAAAGAGUUUGCUCUUGGUUUGCGAAUUGAGCAUCCUCAGGAACUCAUAAACAAUAUACAGUAUUCUGCAUUGACCUCUGAAGUUCGUGAUGGACGUGGAAAGGUGCCUGUUGCAGAUUACAAGGUUGUGAAGUAUGUCGAUGAAGAGAACAAUGGUGCAGCCACCAGCUUAAGGGAAACAAGUCGCAGUUGCUAUUCCUUCUGCAUGUGCCCAGGAGGGCAGGAAAUGAAUGGAUUUGUGGAAGUGCAUGCUGGCAGGUUGUUCUUACUAGCACGAAUCCAGCGGAACUCUGUAUCAAUGGCAUGUCGUUUUCUCGAAGAGCAUCCAGAUGGGCAAAUGCAGCACUUGUUGUCACUGUGUCAUCAAAGGAUUUUGAGGCUUUGCAGUGCAAUGGUCCUCUUGCUGGCGUCGAGUUCCAGAGAGAAUUCGAACGAAGAGCCGCUACAAUGGGAGGUGGAAAUUUUGUUGUCCCUGUGCAGACUGUUGCUGAUUUUCUGGAUAACAAGCUAUCAGAUGUGCCGAUGUACAGGCAUGUGAGAGAUCCAAGAUCAUCAAGUGGGGGAGGGACCUUUAGAAAUGCUAACUAUUUGUUCACAUUCAACCUGUUUAGGCUAGGAACAUGUUGGGUGAACGGCGGAAUCACAAAGAGAUGAAUCUAGGAUAGCGAUCCAAAAUUACCAAGCAAAAGGAAGAAGAACACAACGAUUUAAUGUGGAAAACCCUUUCAGGAAAAACACCACGGCACAAAGCGACAAAAAUUCACUAUGAAAGCAGAAAUUACAAAGAGAGAAGGCUUACCCGAUUCGAAAAACCUUGAAUCUCACCCUUGCUCCACCCCUUUGAAACCCUAGAAAUAUUUAGAAACCCUUGGAAUACAUCCCAAUCCCGUUUACACCCAUAUUUAUAGCCUAUGGGAGAAUCCCAAACAAAAUCGGAAACAAGUUUCGCAAAUCCGGCGGAUCCACAAAAUUUUGCGCAAAACGUUCGAUGUCAUCGAAACUUAUCCUUUGAUGGCAUCGAAGCCUGGUCGAUGACAUCGAACUAACACCCAAACUGCCCAGAGACAACCCAAUUUUCCGUAAAAUCUUGAUUGCAUCGAUCUAUGUUCGAUGUCAUCGAAGGUUCAAUCAAACAUCCAUUGAUGGCAUCGGAAAAAGUGCCCAGAUGGGUCAGCGACCAACUGGAGAAAAUCCGGAAAAUCUCGAUGGGAUCGAGCACUGUUCGAUGCCAUUGAAGGUGGCAUCGAACAGACUGUCGACGGCAUCGACAGACCUUGUAUCUGACUUGAUUUAAGACAUCAAAUACAAUAGAACAUUCCCAGAGGUAUCAUUUGAUGAAUGUUCCUGAUUACACAUUGUCCAUGUUAGCGCAUGUGGGGUGCUUUUGUUUGGCACAUACAGAUUUCGUGGGUUGAAAAUGCCUUUUGGAUGACAUCGUAAAUCCCUCUGGUGAUUCAAUUUGAUUUGCAAAGGAUCCCAUCUGCUGUAAAGUCUGCAUGUGCCUUUGGUGAUCCGAUUUGAUUCCAAAUCUGCAAUUAACAUUUCUUACCUGUGUAUUCCCAGUAACAUCUGUACCAAAAUCAAGUUAUCGUUUGGGAGUUAGGGCAGCAAAUCUCCACGAGUUGUUCCCCAUUCAUGUAACACAGUCUUUACAGCAAUCAAUUUCAAUGUUUGACAAAGAGCUGCCUGGAUUUAUCUCCAAGGAUGCUCUUC